UGCAAGUUGUCCUCUGACCUCCACAAGUGCUCCAUCCUCACAAAUUAUAUAGUGACACAUCAGCUCCUGGCAGCACUCCAAUCUACUUGAAAGAAGAUGAUGGGCAUCGAAGAACCUCCACAUGGAGUGUGCUUCAAACAUGGCAAAGCUAGCCACUGGGCAGAAAGUUGCCCUUACCUCAACAACUGACAGCAGGCUGUCCAAAGUGUGGACAAGCAGGACACUGGAAAGUCCACUGUCCAACUUUGCAGAGAUAAGACACUGCAACCUGGUAUAGAUGGUCCUGGAACUAAUCUCUGUCAGAUAUUGAAGGACUACCACAUCUGAACCAAUUCCUCCUGCCAAGAUCUGCUUCUGGGAAAAAUUAAAGACAAAUAGUGACCAAGAUAAAGAACAACCCUGCCAUGGAGAAGUCUUUGGGUCCUUGGUGGAUUUGUGUAUCAUUUUAGACUGCAUGCUUAGCCUGCAGUUUACCCUGGGCACUAACAAACACUAGUGAAUGAAUGAAUAAAUGUUCUGACUUAUCCC